rnacentral:lncRNA from 1 species
AAGGGUUGAAAUUAAUUCAAUUGAAAGCUAUGAAAGGGGUAUAUAAUUGCCCGAUUAGUUUAGGGUUUAAAGUAAGUUGAGCGGACAAGUUCAAGGGGAAAUCAUGUCUUUCUCUAGUGGAAAAAACGUGAAGUGUGUAGAAUGUGUGUUUGUUAUAGUGAGGCAGCCCAAAAGAGUGAGAGGGGUAGGGGUAUGUGGGGUAGGGUGGUUAGAAUGAGAUAAAAUUUAUUAACAAUUUUGGUUAAAAGUUAGUUAUUUUUAUCUUUUUAUGAAAAAAUUAUAGAAUGAGAUGGGGUGCGUGAUAAGAUAAGGCGAAUGAUUAGAAAUUAACUAUUUAGAAAAGACAAAAUUACUUGUCUACAAUAUUACUUUGAAUACAAUACAGAUAAACAGUGAUGUGGAAUGUUUCUUGCAAAUUGGUUAUCAAAAUUAUUGUAUUUCUAAUCACAUAUUAAAUUCUAAUGUAGAGUACCGUUAACUAAUAAAUAGGAAAAUUUGGGUCAACCCGCCUUUGACCCUGCCUAAUUUGUCACACAACCACUUUUAUCAAUCUAUAUCAUUUAGGUUUUGCACUUAAUUUUCUAUUUUACCUGAAUUCUACCAUAACUGCAUUUUAGAUCAAAGAGAUUUUCUUAGUAUAUAAAAGGUUUCCUCUUUGAAAAAGAUUUGUUCCAUACUUGGUCACCCUAUCUUGGAG